rnacentral:lncRNA from 1 species
GCGCGAUACACAUUCUUGCAGGGAUACUGGGAUUUUCAUCAAAUUGAGAUUAAAAAACAAAUGUAUAACAGUUGUUUCUAUUUUAAUGCAUAUAUAACAAAAAAUAGAUAAAUAAAUGCACUAUAGCAUCGAAAAAUGUAUAAAAAUAAGAUUUAAAUAAAAUUCCGCGAAAUUUCGUGAACGAUUUGGCGAAUUUACGUCAUGGCAAACACGUCGUCAUACAAAUAAAAACUUUAAAGGUAAAGAUUUUUUCGUUUCGUGUACGCUUCAAAUUCGGAUAAUACCUCAUUAAAAUUAACUUUUGGAGGUAGGUGUUAUUUCAUUUUAAUUUCUGUUGGAUUUAUUAUAGAACAUUUAUAAAUUUUAAAAAGUCAAUAUGGCGGCCAACUCCUUAGUUACGACCUGUCAGUUGUGCAUGUGAUGGUAAUUAUAGAAGCCUUUACACAAACAAAUGUUAAUAAGAAAUCGCGAAUAUUUGGCUUAAGAAUUAUAAGGUUUAAACACAGUUUUUGCUAGAGGUUAUUGAUGUGUAAACCGGGGCUCUUACUCACAAACUUACAUAAAAGUCCUUCGGACUUUUAUUCAGUUUGUGAGUUAAUCGCCCCGGUUUACACAUCAAUAACCUCUAGAAAAAAUGUGUUUAAUCCUAUAAUA